GUUUCUUUUGAAAAAGUCAAGUUACAAAUAAAAGUUUGAGAAUCGGAAACAACAAACCCUUGAGAAAUAGUUUGAAUAGAAGAAACAAGAUGUUCCAGUAAAAAGUUUUUAUUUGCUUAUUGACAUCAUAAAGUUCACAAAGAUGUAAAAGUACUAAACCUAUAGAAAAUUCCUUCAGUGUUAACUGGUAAAAGAUUAUAAAGAGCCCUAUUAAAGUUCCUCUCUUAGUCUCUUAAUACAUUGAUGUUUCAGGAGGAAACCUGCUGCCAGUUCAGCCCCAUGUGACUGACUGUGUGUUUGCAUAUGUGUCCUGCCUCUCUGCUCCAGCUGUUAAGAGGUCAGAGUUGAUCAGUGGCUGUCCAGGCCUUUCAGAGCCACUGACACACCAGCAGCACAAUGAUGAUGUCACUGACUCUACUGCUGACCAUCCUGGGGCUCCUGGUUCAGGGUUCAUCAGGAGACAUCAUCCUGACUCAGACUCCUGGAUCUCAGUCUGUUGCUCCAGGACAGACUGUCUCAAUCACAUGUAAAACCAGUUCAAGUGUUUAUAACAACCUCCACUGGUACCUUCAGAAACCUGCAGAAGCUCCUAAACUCCUGAUUCAAUAUGCUACAACUCUUCAGUCUGGAGUUCCAGCUCGGUUCAGUGGAAGUGGAUCUGUUUCUGAUUACACUCUGACCAUCAGUGGAGUUCAGGCUGAAGAUUCAGGAGUUUAUUACUGUCAGCAGAGUUACAGCCUCCCGUUCACACAGUGAAUGAACGUCGUACAAAAACC